GUCGCGGCGACCUGAGGAGAGCGCCUGCCUUCCUAGCAGGAGGUCGGCGGUUCGAUCCGGCCACCGCGGCA
rnacentral:tRNA from 1 species